UAGGAUUCCCUCAGUAGCUGCGAGCGAACAGGGAUAAGCCCAGCACCGAAUCCCGCGGCCGACUUCGGACGCCGGGAAAUGUGGUGUUAGGGAGGAUCCGUUUAUCCCGAGGUUGUGUGACGCGUCCAAGUCCCUCUUGAACGGGGCCACAGCCCAUAGAGGGUGCCAGGCCCGUAGUGACCGUUGCCGAUCCCGGGAGGAUCUCUCCUCAGAGUCGGGUUGCUUGAGAGUGCAGCCCUAAGUGGGUGGUAAACUCCAUCUAAGGCUAAAUAUAACCACGAGACCGAUAGCGAACAAGUACCGUGAGGGAAAGUUGAAAAGCACUUUGAAGAGAGAGUUCAAGAGUACGUGAAACCGUUCAGGGGUAAACCUGAGAAACCCGAAAGGUCGAAAGGGGAAAUUCAUCGCGUUUCGAUUUUGGCGGAGGGUGAUCGUGUGACGGAUGUCGUUCGCGUCGUCCGCGCCUUUUGCCUUUCGAACCGGAGUCGAACGUGUGCACUUUUCCCCUAGUAGGACGUCGCGAUCCGUUGGGUGUCGGUCUACGGCCUGCAGUGGAGUCCGUGUGCGUUUCGGCGCGUGCGAACCUGUGGUGUCCCGGCCGACUUGCUCGACGGUAUACAGAUGGCGCGAGGCCGCUACUUAAGUUAGCGUCUGACGCGUGGCAAGCGCGCUCGCAGCGUCGGUGAUCGGACCUGGUGCCGGUCCUGACCUCGGGUGGCUGUUGGCUGCGUUGUUCUCGGACAGACCUCGUUGAAACGCCGAUCUGCGACGCUAUAGCUUUGGGUACUUUCAGGACCCGUCUUGAAACACGGACCAAGGAGUCUAGCAUGUGCGCGAGUCAUUGGGACAUAACUAAACCUAAAGGCGCAAUGAAAGUGAAAGUCCGCCUUUGCGCGGACUUAGGGAAGAUGGGCGAACGGUUUUCCGACCGCCGCUCCGCAUUCCCGGGGCGUCUCGUUCUCAUCGCGAGAAGAGGCGCACCAAGAGCGUACACGCUGGGACCCGAAAGAUGGUGAACUAUGCCUGGUCAGGACGAAGUCAGGGGAAACCCUGAUGGAGGUCCGUAGCGAUUCUGACGUGCAAAUCGAUCGUCGGAACUGGGUAUAGGGGCGAAAGACUAAUCGAACCAUCUAGUAGCUGGUUCCCUCCGAAGUUUCCCUCAGGAUAGCUGGCGCUCGUUUUAACGAGUCUCAUCCGGUAAAGCGAAUGAUUAGAGGCAUUGGGGUCGAAACGACCUCAACCUAUUCUCAAACUUUAAAUGGGUGAGAUCUCCGGCUUGCUCGAAUUGAUGAAGCCGCGAGAUUCGGAUCAGAGUGCCAAGUGGGCCAUUUUUG
rnacentral:rRNA from 1 species